rnacentral:rRNA from 1 species
UACGUAGGUGACAAGCGUUGUCCGGAUUUACUGGGCGUAAAGAGCGCGCAGGCGGUCGUUCAAGUCGAGUGUGAAAGCCCCCCGGCUCAACUGGGGAGGGUCAUUCGAUACUGAUCGACUCGAAGGCAGGAGAGGGUAGUGGAAUUCCCGGUGUAGUGGUGAAAUGCGUAGAUAUCGGGAGGAACACCAGUGGCGAAGGCGGCCAUCUGGACCAGCACUGACGCUGAGGCACGAAAGCGUGGGGAGCAAACAGG